AAUCAACGCUGGCGGCGUGCCUAACACAUGCAAGUCGAACGGUGACGAGGAGCUUGCUCCUCCGAUCAGUGGCGAACGGGUGAGUAACACGUGAGUAACCUGCCCCAGACUCUGGAAUAACAGUUGGAAACAGCUGCUAAUACCGGAUACGAGACGGAGAGGCAUCUCUACCGUCUGGAAAGUUUUUCGGUCUGGGAUGGACUCGCGGCCUAUCAGCUUGUUGGUGAGGUAAUGGCUCACCAAGGCGACGACGGGUAGCCGGCCUGAGAGGGCGACCGGCCACACUGGGACUGAGACACGGCCCAGACUCUACGGGAGGCAGCAGUGGGGAAUAUUGCACAAUGGGCGCAAGCCUGAUGCAGCAACGCCGCGUGAGGGAUGACGGCCU
rnacentral:rRNA from 1 species